rnacentral:rRNA from 1 species
GAUGAACGCUGGCGGCGUGCCUAAUACAUGCAAGUCGAGCGAACAGAUGAGGAGCUUGCUCCUCUGACGUUAGCGGCGGACGGGUGAGUAACACGUGGAUAACCUACCUAUAAGACUGGGAUAACUUCGGGAAACCGGAGCUAAUACCGGAUAAUAUAUUGAACCGCAUGGUUCAAUAGUGAAAGACGGUUUUGCUGUCACUUAUAGAUGGAUCCGCGCCGCAUUAGCUAGUUGGUAAGGUAACGGCUUUCCAAGGCGACGAUGCGUAGCCGACCUGAGAGGGUGAUCGGCCACACUGGAACUGAGACACGGUCCAGACUCCUACGGGAGGCAGCAGUAGGGAAUCUUCCGCAAUGGGCGAAAGCCUGACGGAGCAACGCCGCGUGAGUGAUGAAGGUCUUCGGAUCGUAAAACUCUGUUAUUAGGGAAGAACAAAUGUGUAAGUAACUAUGCACGUCUUGACGGUACCUAAUCAGAAAGCCACGGCUAACUACGUG